rnacentral:lncRNA from 10 species
GUGGGUGACAUUUACAAAGGGGUGAGAUUCAAAACGGUUUGCAACCAGUAUGGCACAAAAACUGAUCAAACAGUGUUCAAUAAUCAGAGGCUGCCACCUGUAAACAACUAAUAGAGCUUUGUUGUUGCAGACUGCCUGAAUACAAGCCCUGCAUCUUCAUAAGAAAACUAAAGACACUUCAAGGUUUCUGAUAAUCUCCACAACCACCCUCCAAAAAGGAAAUAAUGAAGUGUGGAAGUUUUCACAAUGCGAAGCUUCUCUUCCUCUCUUCUGCCACAAAGACUGACUACUUCUUGCAAAUAUGACUGAUCUGUGAGAGUCCUGAUUUAGCCUUGACUCCUCUGAUUCACAGAACCAACCCAGUCUUAGGGAAGCAUCUGCCAGUAGUCCUUGCAUCCUGUGCUAAAUACAAGAUUGAUCUUUUCCACCUCAAAGUAUAUACUUCACUUUCCAAAAAUGUACUUUCUGACACUUUUUUUGAAAUCUACAUCUACAGUGUCUUCUUUCUUCUUUCAUGCUCGAUCCCACUGCUUGUAGGAGCCAUUUCCCCUAUUGUGUUAUUUGGGGAUUUAACUGUCAUUGUUCCACUAAAAAUGAG